UACGUAGGGGGCAAGCGUUGUUCGGAAUUACUGGGCGUAAAGGGCGCGUAGGCGGCACGGUAAGUCGGGAGUGAAAGCCCGGGGCUCAACCCCGGAACGUCUUUCGAAACUGCCGAGCUAGAGUGCGGAAGAGGCAACUGGAAUUCCCAGUGUAGCGGUGAAAUGCGCAGAUAUCGGGAAGAACACCCGUGGCGAAGGCGGUUCUCUGGGACGGUACUGACGCUGAGACGCGAAAGCGUGGGGAGCGAACAGG
rnacentral:rRNA from 1 species